AGGAAGGUGGGGAUGACGUCAAGUCCUCAUCGGCCUUUAUGCCCAGGGCUACACACGUGCUACAAUGGGCGGUACAAAGAGAAGCAACCUCGCGAGGGUGAGACAAAUCUACAAAAAGCCGUUCUCAGUUCGGAUUGAAGUCUGCAACUCGACUUCAUGAAGUCGGAAUCGCUAGUAAUCGCGGAUCAACAUGCCGCGGUCGAAUACGUUCCCGGGCCUU
rnacentral:rRNA from 1 species